AAAAGAGGAUUCUUCAAAUUGAUUGACAAAGGUUCGGUCCAAGGGUGAAAAGUCGCGUUGAACAUCUGGCGCCAUAAAUAAGGUAAGCAGACCAUUAUUCUGCAUUGACUAUUCUAAAUCAAGGGUGUUCAACGCCUUAUUAACCCACAGACCGCUAAAAUUAAUUAAUUAAAUACAUAGUGACAACUUCCAUUUCUAUAAAGGUACAGGAAAUAUGGUAUGGUUUAUGGAACAAAUAUGAGGAAAUAUUUGUGAAAGUCUGAGUUUGGCAACUCCACCCGUGUCCUGACGAGGAGCGGUUUUGGCUGGGUUGAAACACCCGAGAAUUGAGACAUCUUAAAAACAAAAAGGUUAAGUUAAGGUUAAUAAGGGUAAGUCCUCCAUAGUAGAGGUAAGUCCCAGGUAAUUGUAGGGGUAAGUCCUCCAUAGUAGAGGUAAGUCCCCCGGGGUAAGUCCUCCAUAGUAGAGGUAAGUCCCCUGGGGUAAGUCCUCCACAGUAGAGGUAAGUCCCCAAAGGAGUUGAAGUCUCCUAGGUAUGACUGGUGAACGAUUGUAUUAUUGAACCAUUUCACACUAUUUAGGUGAUAUGACAAAAUAAUUCAAUGUUCACAUGACUUGUUGGUUUUGGUGUCAGACAAUUGAGCUAGUUCGAUUGUCCAAAGGCUGAGAACCAGGGUAUAGCGAGCCAUAGAUCUCAGCUGGCCAAAAUCAUAGGGAAACUUGAUUUUGGUGUCAAAUAGGAAUAUUACUUUCCUGUUUAAGGGUUGAGAACCAGGGACAUAGUGUCCCAUAAAUCUCAACUGGCCACAAUCAAGGAUU